rnacentral:rRNA from 1 species
UACGGGGGGGGCAAGCGUUGUUCGGAAUUACUGGGCGUAAAGGGCUCGUAGGCGGCCAACUAAGUCGGAUGUGAAAUCCCCAAGCUUAACUUGGGAACUGCAUCCGAUACUGGAUGGCUUGAAUCCGGGAGAGGGAUGCAGAAUUCCAGGUGUAGCGGUGAAAUGCGUAGAUAUCAGGAGGAACACCAGCGGCGAAGGCGGCACUCUGGGCUGGAACUGACGCUGAGGAGCGAAAGCGUGGGGAGCGAACAGG